rnacentral:rRNA from 1 species
CGAUAUUAUUGGGCCUAAAGCGUCCGUAGCCGGCCGGACAAGUCCGUUGGGAAAUCGACGCGCUCAACGCGUCGGCGUCCAGCGGAAACUGUCCGGCUUGGGGCCGGAAGACCUGAGGGGUACGUCCGGGGUAGGAGUGAAAUCCUGUAAUCCUGGACGGACCACCAAUGGGGAAACCACCUCAGGAAGACGGACCCGACGGUGAGGGACGAAAGCUAUGGUCUCGAACCGGAUUAGAUACCCGGGUAGUCCUAGCUGUAAACGAUGCUCGCUUAGGUGUGCCGUAGGCUACGAGCCUGCGCUGCGCCCUAGGGAAGCCGAGAAGCGAGCCGCCUGGGAAGUACGUCUGCAAGGAUGAAACUUAAAGGAAUUGGCGGGGGAGCACCACAACCGGAGGAGCCUGCGGUUUAAUUGGACUCAACGCCGGACAUCUCACCGGUCCCGACAGUAGUAAUGACAGUCAGGUUGACGACUUUACUCGAUGCUACUGAGAGGAGGUGCAUGGCCGCCGUCAGCUCGUACCGUGAGGCGUCCUGUUAAGUCAGGCAACGAGCGAGACCCGCACUUCUAGUUGCCAGCAAUACCCUUGAGGUAGUUGGGUACACUAGGAGGACUGCCAUUGCUAAAAUGGAGGAAGGAACGGGCAACGGUAGGUCAGUAUGCCCCGAAUGGACCGGGCAACACGCGGGCUACAAUGGCUCUGACAGUGGGAUGCAACGCCGAGAGGCGACGCUAAUCUCCAAACGGAGUCGUAGUUCGGAUUGCGGGCUGAAACCCGCCCGCAUGAAGCUGGAUUC